rnacentral:rRNA from 1 species
UACGUAGGGGGCAAGCGUUGUCCGGAAUCAUUGGGCGUAAAGAGCGUGUAGGCGGCCCGAUAAGUCCGCUGUGAAAGUCCAGGGCUCAACCCUGGGAUGCCGGUGGAUACUGUCGGGCUCGAGUCCGGAAGAGGAGUGUGGAAUUCCUGGUGUAGCGGUGAAAUGCGCAGAUAUCAGGAGGAACACCAAUGGCGAAGGCGGCCAGCUAGACCAGUUCUGACACUGAGGCGCGACAGCGUGGGAGCAAACAGG